rnacentral:misc_RNA from 1 species
AAAGUGCGACAAGUGUCACGACUUGCAGAUUCCCGGGAGCUGACAACUCUCUGAAUGCAAAUUGCGGCCCGACAAUCUCUUCCGUCGGCCAUGUGUUGCAGAGUGUUUUUGCCUUCGGCACUCCAUCUUCUGGCUCAGAAGAAUUCGGAGUUGAGUGCAGCUAACCCUCGCUCAGCUCUAAGAUCUGCGCAAGCUCGCUCAAUUGCGACGAGCAUGCCUUGCAUGCGAGGCAUAGCGUGUCCAAAAGAGCGCAGACGCGUGUUCAUUCUAUUUUGCUGACCUCUGCAACAUAAGAAAACCCGCUGAACUUAA